GCACCAGCCGCCCUCCUGCCCUCGCCCGCCGCCCGUGUGCCCGCCCGACCGUAGGGGGCGCUCGCUCGUCCAUGUCGCCCGGGCUUCCCGGGUGCCCGGUCACCCACCGGCUGCUGAACCCUUGCAUCGGAGUUCCCCAGGGCCGCCGUGAAGCCCUCAGCCCAGGUCUGCCCCGUCUGAGGGCGUGGGAACGAGGAGAAAACUCCUCCACCAAGGGAGGCACAGAAAAAUGAGGCAUUUUCCCGAAGAUCUCUCAAGGCUUGUGCCACCUCACCUGACCAGUAAACCCUUAAAAAAAAAAAGAAGAAAAGAAAUUGAGGCUGAAGAGUGGUUAAGAGCACCUCCUGCGCUUCCAGAGGAACUGAAGAGUCCCAGCACCCUUAUCAGGUGGCUCACAAUUGUCUGUAACUCCAGCUUUCUAACUUCCUCUUCUGGCCUCCACUCCCCAGCCCACACAGGAUAAAUGCACAGACAAAAUACAAAUCUUAAAUAUUG